AUGGGAGCCGCCGGCGGCAACGGCGGCGUGGCCAAGGCGGCGGCGGUGGCGGUGCUGGUGCUGUGCAUGGCGCGGUGGUCGGCUGCUGGCAUGGGCGUGAACUGGGGCACGCAGCUGAGCCACCCGCUGCCGGCGAGCACGGUGGUGCGGCUGCUCAAGGACAACGGCUUCGACCGGGUGAAGCUGUUCGACGCCGAGGACGGCAUCCUGGGCGCGCUCAAGGGGUCGGGGAUCCAGGUGAUGGUCGGCAUCCCCAACGACAUGCUCUCCGACCUCGCCGGCAGCACCAAGGCCGCCGAGCGCUGGGUCACGGCCAACGUCUCCAAGCACGUCAACGACGGCGUCGACAUAAGGUUGGUGGCCGUGGGGAAUGAGCCGUUCCUGCAGACGUUCAACGGCACGUACCUGAACACGACGUUCCCGGCGAUGCAGAACAUCCAGGCGGCGCUGAUGUCGGCCGGGCUGGGCAACCAGGUGAAGGUGACGGUGGCGCUCAACGCCGACGUGUACCAGUCAUCUUCGGGAAAGCCGUCGGACGGCGACUUCCGGGCGGACAUCCACGGGCUCAUGCUCAACAUCGUGCAGUUCCUGGCGUCCAGCGGCGCGCCGUUCGUGGCCAACGUGUACCCGUUCAUCAGCCUGUACGCGGACCCCAACUUCCCGCUCGACUACGCCUUCUUCCAGGGCUCCACGUCGCCGGUGGUCGACGGCGGCGUCACGUACGAGAACACCUUCGACGCCAACCACGACACGCUGGUGGCGGCGCUGCGCAGGAACGGGUUCCCCAACGUGACCGUCGUCGUCGGCGAGGUCGGCUGGCCCACGGACGGCGACGCCAACGCCAACCCGGCGUACGCGCAGCGGUUCAACCAGGGCCUCCUGGACCACGUCGCCUCCGGCAAGGGCACGCCGCUCACGCCGGGCGCCCCCGUCGACGCCUACCUCUUCAGCCUCGUGGACGAGGACAGGAAGAGCAUCCAGCCAGGCAACUUCGAGCGCCACUGGGGCAUCUUUUUCUACGACGGGAAGCCCAAGUACCAGCUCAGCCUCCGCGGCAAUGGCGGCGGCAUGCUUGUGCCGGCGAGGGGCGUCGAGUACCUCCAGAGGCGGUGGUGCGUGCUCAAGCCCGACGCCGACCUCGCUGACCAGAAGGUCGGCGACAGCGUCAGCUACGCCUGCGGCAGUGCCGACUGCACCAGCCUCGGGUACAAGACCUCGUGCGGCGGCCUCGACGCCAAGGGCAACGUGUCGUACGCGUUCAACAGCUACUACCAGACCGAGGACCAGGACGACCGAGCCUGCGACUUCCGCGGACUCGCCACCACCACCACCGUCGACCCCUCUACCGGGACGUGCCGGUUCAUCAUCGGGAUCGCCCCGACCAGCACGGCGACGAGGAACGUUGCGGCCAGGACAGCGGCCAUCUUCUUCGCGCUGUUGCUCGCAGGCAUGUUCUGA
rnacentral:rRNA from 1 species